AACGAACGCUGGCGGCAUGCCUAACACAUGCAAGUCGAACGAACCCUUCGGGGUUAGUGGCGCACGGGUGCGUAACGCGUGGGAACCUACCAUCAGGUUCGGAAUAACAGUUAGAAAUGACUGCUAAUACCGGAUAAUGUCUUCGGACCAAAGAUUUAUCGCCUUUUGAUGGGCCCGCGUAAGAUUAGGUAGUUGGUGGGGUAAAAGCCUACCAAGCCGACGAUCUUUAGCUGGUCUGAGAGGAUGAUCAGCCACACUGGGACUGAGACACGGCCCAGACUCCUACGAGAGGCAGCAGUGGGGAAUAUUGGACAAUGGGCGAAAGCCUGAUCCAGCAAUGCCGCGUGAGUGAUGAAGGCCUUAGGGUUGUAAAGCUCUUUUACCAGGGAUGAUAAUGACAGUACCUGGAGAAUAAGCUCCGGCUAACUCCGUG
rnacentral:rRNA from 1 species